AGUGAACGCUGGCGGUAGGCCUAACACAUGCAAGUCGAACGGCAGCACAGUAAGAGCUUGCUCUUACGGGUGGCGAGUGGCGGACGGGUGAGGAAUACAUCGGAAUCUACUUUUUCGUGGGGGGUAACGUAGGGAAACUUACGCUAAUACCGCAUACGACCUACGGGUGAAAGCAGGGGAUCUUCGGACCUUGCGCGAUUGAAUGAGCCGAUGUCGGAUUAGCUAGUUGGCGGGGUAAAGGCCCACCAAGGCGACGAUCCGUAGCUGGUCUGAGAGGAUGAUCAGCCACACUGGAACUGAGACACGGUCCAGACUCCUACGGGAGGCAGCAGUGGGGAAUAUUGGACAAUGGGCGCAAGCCUGAUCCAGCCAUACCGCGUGGGUGAAGAAGGCCUGCGGGUUGUAAAGCCCUUUUGUUGGGAAAGAAAAGCAGCAGGUUAAUACCCCGCUGUUCUGACGGUACCCAAAGAAUAAGCACCGGCUAACUUCGUG
rnacentral:rRNA from 1 species